CGCUUCUCACCGCGGCCUGGGCGCCCUGGCACCGUCUCUCGGGGCUGGUGGCCUGCGUGGGCGGCCGGGUGGCCGGCAGAGCCGCCAGGGCCCCCGGGCUCAGCAAGAGGCCUAAAUGGCUGCGAAGCAGGCCCCGGGCAGGAGUCGCUCGGGCGCAGGGAGGAAGUGAACCGGCCGGAGGGAGCGCCCGGCUGCUGGCCCCACAGUCCUGACACCUCCGGAACUCCUAAUCCUUUACUUGUCCGGCUGAAAGGUCACCAGCCCCAGUCCCCAGCUGUGCCGCUUGCUGGGCACAGAGCCUCUGGUUACUGCCCCCUGAUACACACAGUGCCCGGGGAUAGAACCCGUGUGCGUGGACCUGGGUGACUGGGAGGCCACCGAGCGGGCGCUGGGCAGCGUGGGCCCCGUGGACCUGCUGGUGAACAACGCCGCUGUCGCCCUGCUGCAGCCCUUCCUGGAGGUCACCAAGGAGGCCUUUGACAGAUCCGUUGAGGUGAACCUGCGUGCGGCCAUCCAGGUGUCACAGGUGAGCUGCCCUGUGGGCUGGACGGGAAUUCUGGUGAGUGAUGCCAGCUCUGCUUCACCGUCUCGCUGCAAUUCCAGAUUGUAGCCAGGGGCUUAAUAGCCCGGGGAGUCCCAGGGGCCAUCGUGAAUGUCUCCAGCCAGGGCUCCAAGCGGGCAGUAACUAACCAUAGCGUCUACUGUGAGUGCCCCAGCUGUGUCCUCAGCCCCACCCCAGCCCCAGCCUCACCCUCAUCACCCACCCCAGCCCCAGCCAGCUUGGGUUCCUCUUCAUAGGCUCCACCAAGGGUGCCCUGGACAUGCUAACCAAGAUCCGAGUGAAUGCAGUAAACCCCACAGUGGUGAUGACGCCCAUGGGCCAGGCGGCCUGGAGUGACCCCCACAAAGCCAAGACUAUGCUGGAC
rnacentral:sRNA from 1 species